rnacentral:tRNA from 1 species
GGGCCCAUAGGGUAGCCUGGAUAUCCUGCCGGCCUUCGGAGCCGGUGACGGGGGUUCGAAUCCCCUUGGGUCCG